GACAAAGCGAUUGUUACCUUCACAAAAAUUGGAAUAUUAGCAUGGCCCCUGUGCUAGGAUGACACGCUUAAUUCGAGAAAUGGUCCAAAUUUUU
rnacentral:snRNA from 1 species